rnacentral:rRNA from 1 species
AACGAACGCUGGCGGCAGGCUUAACACAUGCAAGUCGAACGCUCCGCAAGGAGAGUGGCAGACGGGUGAGUAACGCGUGGGAACGUGCCUUUUGGUUCGGAACAACUUCGGGAAACUGGAGCUAAUACCGAAUGUGCCCUUCGGGGGAAAGAUUUAUCGCCAAAAGAUCGGCCCGCGUCAGAUUAGCUAGUUGGUGGGGUAAUGGCCUACCAAGGCGACGAUCUGUAGCUGGUCUGAGAGGAUGAUCAGCCACACUGGGACUGAGACACGGCCCAGACUCCUACGGGAGGCAGCAGUGGGAAUAUUGGACAAU